AUGAGGGUCCCCACACAGCUCCUGGGGUUGCAGCUGCUCUGGCUUUUAGGUGCCAGAUGUGACAUCCAGAUGACACAGUCUCCAGCCUCCCUGUCUGCUUCUCUUGGAGAAAGUGUCACCAUGACAUGCCAGGCAAGUCAGAACAUUUAUGGUUAUUUAGCAUGGUAUCAGCAGAAACCAGGGGAACGUCCUCAGCUCCUGAUCUAUAGUGCAAGCAGCUUGGUAGAUGGGGUCCCUUCGAGAUUCAGUGGCAGUGGAUAUAGCACACAGUUUUCUCUCAAGAUCAGCAACCUGCAGUCUGAAGACGUGGCAACUUAUUACUGUCAACGGCAUGAUAAUGUUCCUCCCACAGUGAUACAAGUCAUAACAUAAACCCCCAAGGAAGCAGAAGUAUGUAGCCUGGCUUCCCCAGAUGUUUCUCCUGGUGGGUCACCCACUGAAACUGUUUCUCAGAUGUUAGAACAUUUUUAACACAGUUCAUGAUGAAUAUUUUUUUAUUGGUACAAGAGGCUAACCAGUCCUCUCUAUAGUCUAUCGUUCUUUCAGUUCAUUCAUAGCACUACAGAGUAACAAUGUCUUUUCUACAUUAACAGUGGACACAGUAGUUCCCUGUGAAGAGUCUGAGAUGUAUCACUAGUUGGGACUUAUACAGAAGAGUGGAAGCUUCUGUGGAUAUUCCAGCACAUUAUCUUUAUGUACAGAAAGUUAACUUGCAGAUGCCAGUAUUCCAAAGGGAGGGAAUCAUUAGUGAGAGAAGCUGAUAGUAGAAAGGAUUCCUGAAUUUCUCACAAAGGCUAGAGCACAAGUGUCAGAGAAAGGGAUGGCUGCUUAGCUAUGAUCUUCUGCUGUGUCUCCAAAUUCCAGCAGUGUGUGUUGAUGCUUUCACGUAUCUGCAGCAAUUCACACAGAAUUCUUCUGGCUCCUCUGUCCACUAGUCUGCUUACAAGAAUCAACAAUAUUGAAACACAUGCCUAUGACUUUUAAUCUCACUGUGUGCAUUAGAAUAUAAACUUUUCUAUAUGAAAUUAUAGAAAGUAAAGGCUUGUCUUAAACACGCUUCCAGAAGUGAUAUUGGUGAUGACUUGAUAUUCC